rnacentral:rRNA from 1 species
CGUAGCCGCGGUAAUGCGUAGGUGGCAAGCGUUGUCCGGAAUUAUUGGGCGUAAAGGGCUCGCAGGCGGUUUCUUAAGUCUGAUGUGAAAGCCCCCGGCUCAACCGGGGAGGGUCAUUGGAAACUGGGAAACUUGAGUGCAGAAGAGGAGAGUGGAAUUCCACGUGUAGCGGUGAAAUGCGUAGAGAUGUGGAGGAACACCAGUGGCGAAGGCGACUCUCUGGUCUGUAACUGACGCUGAGGAGCGAAAGCGUGGGGAGCGAACAGGAUUAGAUACCCCCGUAGUCCCUGUCUCUUAUACA